rnacentral:rRNA from 1 species
AUGAACGCUGGCGGCGUGCCUCAUCCAUGCCAGUCGCGCGAACAGACGAGGAGCUUGCUCCUCUGACGUUAGCGGCGGACGGGUGAGUAACACGUGGAUAACCUACCUAUAAGACUGGGAUAACUUCGGGAAACCGGAGCUAAUACCGGAUAAUAUAUUGAACCGCAUGGUUCAAUAGUGAAAGACGGUUUUGCUGUCACUUAUAGAUGGAUCCGCGCCGCAUUAGCUAGUUGGUAAGGUAACGGCUUACCAAGGCAACGAUGCGUAGCCGACCUGAGAGGGUGAUCGGCCACACUGGAACUGAGGCACGGUCCAGACUCCUACGGGAGGCAGCAGUAGGGAAUCUUCCGCAAUGGGCGAAAGCCUGACGGAGCAACGCCGCGUGAGUGAUGAAGGUCUUCGGAUCGUAAAACUCUGUUAUUAGGGAAGAACAAAUGUGUAAGUAACUAUGCACGUCUUGACGGUACCUAAUCAGAAAGCCACGGCUAACUACGU